UUAAGCGACUAAGCGUACACGGUGGAUGCCCUGGCAGUCAGAGGCGAUGAAGGACGUGCUAAUCUGCGAUAAGCGUCGGUGAGGUGAUAUGAACCGUUAUAACCGGCGAUUUCCGAAUGGGGAAACCCAGUGUGUUUCGACACACUAUCAUUAACUGAAUCCAUAGGUUAAUGAGGCGAACCGGGGGAACUGAAACAUCUAAGUACCCCGAGGAAAAGAAAUCAACCGAGAUUCCCCCAGUAGCGGCGAGCGAACGGGGAGCAGCCCAGAGCCUGAAUCAGUGUGUGUGUUAGUGGAAGCGUCUGGAAAGGCGCGCGAUACAGGGUGACAGCCCCGUACACAAAAAUGCACAUACUGUGAGCUCGAUGAGUAGGGCGGGACACGUGGUAUCCUGUCUGAAUAUGGGGGGACCAUCCUCCAAGGCUAAAUACUCCUGACUGACCGAUAGUGAACCAGUACCGUGAGGGAAAGGCGAAAAGAACCCCGGCGAGGGGAGUGAAAAAGAACCUGAAACCGUGUACGUACAAGCAGUGGGAGCCUCUUAAUGGGGUGACUGCGUACCUUUUGUAUAAUGGGUCAGCGACUUAUAUUCUGUAGCAAGGUUAACCGAAUAGGGGAGCCGAAGGGAAACCGAGUCUUAACUGGGCGUUAAGUUGCAGGGUAUAGACCCGAAACCCGGUGAUCUAGCCAUGGGCAGGUUGAAGGUUGGGUAACACUAACUGGAGGACCGAACCGACUAAUGUUGAAAAAUUAGCGGAUGACUUGUGGCUGGGGGUGAAAGGCCAAUCAAACCGGGAGAUAGCUGGUUCUCCCCGAAAGCUAUUUAGGUAGCGCCUCGUGAAUUCAUCUCCGGGGGUAGAGCACUGUUUCGGCAAGGGGGUCAUCCCGACUUACCAACCCGAUGCAAACUGCGAAUACCGGAGAAUGUUAUCACGGGAGACACACGGCGGGUGCUAACGUCCGUCGUGAAGAGGGAAACAACCCAGACCGCCAGCUAAGGUCCCAAAGUCAUGGUUAAGUGGGAAACGAUGUGGGAAGGCCCAGACAGCCAGGAUGUUGGCUUAGAAGCAGCCAUCAUUUAAAGAAAGCGUAAUAGCUCACUGGUCGAGUCGGCCUGCGCGGAAGAUGUAACGGGGCUAAACCAUGCACCGAAGCUGCGGCAGCGACGCUUAUGCGUUGUUGGGUAGGGGAGCGUUCUGUAAGCCUGCGAAGGUGUGCUGUGAGGCAUGCUGGAGGUAUCAGAAGUGCGAAUGCUGACAUAAGUAACGAUAAAGCGGGUGAAAAGCCCGCUCGCCGGAAGACCAAGGGUUCCUGUCCAACGUUAAUCGGGGCAGGGUGAGUCGACCCCUAAGGCGAGGCCGAAAGGCGUAGUCGAUGGGAAACAGGUUAAUAUUCCUGUACUUGGUGUUACUGCGAAGGGGGGACGGAGAAGGCUAUGUUGGCCGGGCGACGGUUGUCCCGGUUUAAGCGUGUAGGCUGGUUUUCCAGGCAAAUCCGGAAAAUCAAGGCUGAGGCGUGAUGACGAGGCACUACGGUGCUGAAGCAACAAAUGCCCUGCUUCCAGGAAAAGCCUCUAAGCAUCAGGUAACAUCAAAUCGUACCCCAAACCGACACAGGUGGUCAGGUAGAGAAUACCAAGGCGCUUGAGAGAACUCGGGUGAAGGAACUAGGCAAAAUGGUGCCGUAACUUCGGGAGAAGGCACGCUGAUAUGUAGGUGAAGCGACUUGCUCGUGGAGCUGAAAUCAGUCGAAGAUACCAGCUGGCUGCAACUGUUUAUUAAAAACACAGCACUGUGCAAACACGAAAGUGGACGUAUACGGUGUGACGCCUGCCCGGUGCCGGAAGGUUAAUUGAUGGGGUCAGCGCAAGCGAAGCUCUUGAUCGAAGCCCCGGUAAACGGCGGCCGUAACUAUAACGGUCCUAAGGUAGCGAAAUUCCUUGUCGGGUAAGUUCCGACCUGCACGAAUGG
rnacentral:rRNA from 1 species